rnacentral:rRNA from 1 species
UUUGGUGGCUAUAGCGGAGGGGAAACACCCGGUUCCAUUCCGAACCCGGAAGUUAAGCCCUCCAGCGCCGAUGGUACUGCUCGGGAGACCGGGCGGGAGAGUAGGUCGCUGCCAAGG